AGGAAACAAGUCUUUUAAUUACAAAAUAGCGUUACUUUUAAACUGACAACUGAAUAAGGAAAGUAUGGUUUUACCUUGCUGACAUGUUCCGACUGCAUCUGCAGAAUUCAGAGUCAUCGAUGUGCGAUGACGUGUAGUAAGAAACGACAAAUGAACAGAAUCCAACUUUCAAUUAUUGCAUUUAUUCAUGUUACACCAGAUAUUUCAAGAUUACAGUUAUAUUUAUUGAUAAAAAAACAACUAGCUUUAUUUAUAUUAAAAAAAACAUUUUGUUAAUGGAAAAAACAUUUAAAAGUGUAAAUUUCUGAAAAUGAAGCUAUGGCAGUGUUUCAUUAACAUUUUUCUCAUGAGGGUUUUUUUCUGCAACACCUGACUGUUACAGACUUUAAGUUUACGACAUCUAAAAGGUCCCUGAAGAAAUUUCGUGUGUGCCGACAGAACAAAGACAGUCAACAUUUAUAAGAUCUGAAGUCACUGGAUGGCACCUGAACAGUACGGUUCAGCCACAGGACAUGGUGGAGGCCGGCUAGGUGGUGGUGCUAGAGGCGCCCGAGGAUGUCAUGGAGGUCAGCUGGGUUGUGGUGGUGGUAGGGGCGCUCGAGGAUGUCGUGGAGGUCGGCUGGGUCGUGGUGGUGGUAGGGGCACUCGAGGAAGUCGUGGAGGUCGGCUGGGUCGUGGUGGUGGUGGUAGGGGCGCUCGAGGACGUCGUGGAGGUCGGCUGGGUCGUGGUAGGGGCGCUCGAGGACGUCGUGGAGGUCGGCUGGGUCGUGGUAGGGGCGCUCGAGGACAUCGUGGAGGUCGGCUGGGUCGUGGUGGUGGUAGGGGGGCUUGAGGACGUUGGCUGGGUCGUGGUAGGGGCCCUCGAGGACGUCGGCUGGGUCGUGGUGGUGGUAGGGGCGCUUGAGGACGUCAUGGAGGUCGGCUGGGUCGUGGCAGGGGGACUCGAGGACGUCGUGGAAGUCGGCUGGGUUGUGGUGGUGGCAGGGGGGCUCGAGAACAUCGUGGAGGUCGACUGGGUUGUGAUGGUGGCAGGGGGGCUCGAGGACGUCGUGGAGGUCGGCUGGGUUAUGGUAGGGGGGCUCGAGGACGUCGCGGAGGUCGGCUGGGUCGUGGUGGUGGUAGGGAGGCUCGAGGACGUCGUCUGGGUGGUGGCCGUCGUGCUUGGUGGCUCGGUGGGGCAGGUGACUGUUGUGGUGUCCUUAUGGGGAUCGCAGUCACUCAUGGGGUGGGGUUCAAGUUCCAUAUGAGGCCCUUCAGGAAUAUUGUUUAAUCCCCACAAAUCAAAGAUCUUUGAAUCAUCAUCUAUCCCCGGGAUGAUUACAGGAACAAGCAUGACAGUUGUUGUUGUUUCCUCGUCCUCACAUGGAGGUUCCACGGUUCCCAUCAUUUCAGCCUCCUCAGUCCCCUGUGUGGGUUCUACACUGAAUGAAUCAUGAGGAUUCACCCCCCAGUCCCACUGGUCCUGGUGUUGCAGAGCUCUGCGCCGACGAUCCCGCGCAUCUCCUCUGGCUGCACUGAAACAAGCCGCCAGCAUCGUGGACAUCUCCCCAGCCGAGUCCAAAUAGAUCACUUCAAACAUGGAGUCCUGCACAACAUUCAGCCAUUAGUUCUCCACCCAACUAUGACAAACUGGAUGGUGGAUCACUCCAUCCUUACCUUGUCUGCCGGUGUGGAGAUCUGCACCAACACUGGCCCUGGAGUAGUGGUGGUCUGCACCCUCCCAACCACCACAUCUUUCCCCAGAGCCUUCACCUUCUGCAGUCUGCUUCCCUGAGGCAGUUUCACAGCCACUUCUGUGCUCCUGCAGCUCACCGCCGGCAGGGUCCACGUUGCAGGAUCCUCACAGGCGACCACAGCCGUCAUGUUCUCCCGCAGCAGGUGGUCGAAGUAACGCAGCUUCAACUGGUGGAACCACGUUCCAUUUGAAACCUGUGGAACAGACCAAGUCGUCACCAGGCAACAGUUUGUCAUUAGCUGGAGAACAUCCAGGAGUUCCACCGUUUCUGGUGCCUUUGGUCUCCAGUCU
ensembl:lncRNA